rnacentral:lncRNA from 1 species
AAUUUUGAAAAAAAAAAACGUAGCACUAAGGAAAUAAGAACCAAAUGACAGAACUUUUGCAGGACCCUCGUACAGCCUUGGCUUAAAUUUGUAAUUAAACACAUAAUAUUUUGACCAUUUGUCUUAUAUAUGUUACAGUUUUUACCUUGUGUUUUACUAGCGCCCUAGGUUUCAACAUACAGUAAGCAAAUUUCAAAAUUUUCCUAAAUUUUAUAUAAGCAUUCAGACAAAGUAACACGAUGAUCAAAUGAAAUAUGUGGCCUCAUGAAUAUUAAGAAAUGUUUGUUAUAUUUAAUACAGUUCUAAGCAUAAUCAAUUGCCCCUGUAAUUAUUUUAGAGUUCUUUAUCGACAGAAAUUUAUGUAUGGACUUCUAGAUCUUCAAAGUAUGUUUUAUACACAAUAUAGUUUCAAUAGAAUAUGAUAUGUAGCAUCUUUAUGAACCCUAAUUAACUUUUUAUAUGAUUCAUCUUUAAUUUGAAUAUAAUUCUCAUGCCUAGUUAACUUGAAACAAGAUAUGUCAUUCACAUGUGACAGUACUUUAUAGAAAGUUUCGUUCGUUGUGUACAAAAAUGUGACUGACAACCAAAAGAUGCAUUAAAGAGACUAAUCCACGACAUUUUAGGCGAAAUAUAAUUUCUCUCAAAAAUAAAAAAGUGAAUAGUCUGAAAGUCACUUGUGGUAUAAACUUAUUAGCAUAAGAUUAUUGCAAGAUAUUCUUAUAAAUAACCAAAUAUUGUGCAGAAGAUAGUAAACCGUUUCAACACUUUUGGAAUAAUGCAGAAAAGAUGCACAAUCUCCUUGAAUUUUUACCAAUAUCUAACUUUUAUUUUCACCCCCUUUAUCAUUUUUCAGUGUCAUAGAUACAUUCUGUGCCAAACUUGAUGGAAAGGAACAUAUUGAAAUAUUUCACCCAAACUGUUGGAGAGUAGCUUUAAAUGAUAAUACGUUGCACAUGUGUAUACUUUUUCCUUUUAAAAAAAAAUGAAAGAUGAGAGUUGAAUCACUGGAGGCACAGAGCCGGUGCCACACAGAAACUGUAGUGGGAAGAUAUGCAGACGGGUUGCUUUAAGUACCAAACAACAAACACGAAAACAAGUGGUGAGGGAUGAUAGAGAAGGAGAAAUGGUAAGUUAAAAAGGGGACAUGAAAAUGUCGUAUGAGAUAUAAAAGGUGGAGGUGAAGGAAAGUGACACCAAAAUACAAGAUAGUAUUAAAAAAAACAAUUAAAAGUAAUCGGACGAAGAAGCAGGCAUCACCUUGGAAAGGUCAGUAACUUAUACAGAAAAAUAAAUGGGAUUUCACACGCGUUCGGGGCAUAUUAAUCUCACACUUCGACGCUAUGCUUAUUUACAUACAUGAAUAUACAUUGUAUACCUUGUAUAUCGUGGGGACUGAGUAUAAAGACGGAGGUUAUUUCUUACAGCUUCUGUUUUAUUAGCAAACAACAUAUGGUUACUACCUAUAUAACUACCGUAUUUUACUCUCAUAAUUUUCCGGUUUCAACUCGACUCUGGUAGUCCUCAUUUUAGCGACCAUCGCCAAUUUGGUUUCUUUUUUGGGCAUUUUACGGGCAACGUUGUCUUACGGAAAAGAAAGAAAAUGAUGACAACUAAACAACAAUAGACACGUUUCUGAUGGGACAAAUUCAUCUCAGUCGUAAAUAAAGAUGCAAAGAAGCAUUUUCAAAACUAAAUUAAAAGGGGAUACAACAAAGAAGAGAACUCAACAACUUGCUGAUGAACUAGCACUUUUGGUCAUAACGAUCUCCGAUGUGCAGUAGUAAUAGCUCGGCGACACUUGCUACCCUAAACUCCAGGUAAUACAACCGAUUUGAUCUCUUUAUUGCCAUAAAGUGAAAUGUAACAUUUUGAAAAAAUGGACUCAACUAAAGCUAAGAAAUAGAUCUUAACGUCCUUAAUGACUAAGAGAAUUUUACAAACUGACGUUUUAUAACAAUUUUCGUUAAAUUAAAUGUAGUAUUUAUUUUAGGUAUUGAUCGCAGAAUAAAACGACACAUUUUCCCUCAAGUAUGUCUGAUACAGCUUACAGUACAAUGGAGGCUACAACUGAAUAAAUUGAAAACUGUUCUUACUAUAGAAUAUAUUCGUUUGAUUAUUAGUUACAUUUGUACCACUGACGCAGAUGAAAACCAUUCAGUAUUUAAGAAUGUCACAUUGCUGAUGUGAACAAAAUGUCACGUUAAAGCGAAACUUGUGUUUUUAUUUUUCUGUUUUUUUUUUUUUUUUUUUGUUUUUUUUUGUUUGUUUUAUAUUCAUAAUCAUUUUCAAAUACAGUAACUAUACAUCAUAGAAAAUUUGUUCAUGACUUAUUCUAAAUGGAUCACAAAACCAGUAAUGCUUACUGUCAGAAAUGCUCAUGUAUAUUUACCAAACCGAUCUGGAAACGAAGGAUCCCGCAUAUAAUAAAUUUUAUAAAUGGUAAUUGGACAGUUGUUUGUAAGAUUAAAGAUUUAGUAACAUUUUCAGUAAGAGUUAAUCUAAUAUUUUACAAUUUAUCUGAAAUCAAAUAGCAGUUGAUAAAUUGCACAUUAUGAUAUAACAUUUGAACUUAAAGUUUUCUUUGCUUAUCAUUUAUUUCAGCUUACAGAAAUUAUAUUUCUUUCUUUUGUUAACAAGAUAAAACACUGCUUUAUGUGAAUUGUCUUAUUUGAUAAUUUCCAUUACAAGAUAAAUAAGGUUAUUGCUUACAGCUUCUGUUUUAUUAGCAAACAAAAUAUGGUUACUACCUAUAUAUCUACCGUAUUUUACUUUCAUAAUUUUCCGGUUUCAAUUCGAUUCUGGUAGUCCUCAUUUUAACGACCAUCGCCAAUUUGGUUUCUCUUUUGGCAUUCUACGGGCAAUGGUGUCUUACGUAAAAGAAAGGCAACUAAACAACAUUAGACACGUUUCUAACGGGACAAAUUCAUCUCAGUCGUAAAUAAAGAUGCAAAGAAGCAUUUUCAAAACUAAAUUAAAAGGGAUAACAGCAAUGAAGAGAACUCAACAACUUGCUGAUAGCACUUUUGGUCAUAACGAUCUCCGAUGUGCAGUAGUAAUAGCUCGGCGACACUUGCUACCCUAAACCUCCAGUCCUCAUUUUAACGACCAUCGCCAAUUUGGUUUCUCUUUUGGCAUUCUACGGGCAAUGGUGUCUUACGUAAAAGAAAGGCAACUAAACAACAUUAGACACGUUUCUAACGGGACAAAUUCAUCUCAGUCGUAAAUAAAGAUGCAAAGAAGCAUUUUCAAAACUAAAUUAAAAGGGAUAACAGCAAUGAAGAGAACUCAACAACUUGCUGAUAGCACUUUUGGUCAUAACGAUCUCCGAUGUGCAGUAGUAAUAGCUCGGCGACACUUGCUACCCUAAACCUCCAGGUAUUGAUCGCAGAAUAAAACGACACAUUUUCAUCAAGUAUAUACAGUACAAGGGAGGCUACAACUGAAUAAAUUGAAAACUGUUCUUACAAUAGAAUAUAUUUGUUUGAUUAUUAGUUACAUUUGUACCACUGAUAGAUACAUAUAUAGAAAAUUUGUACAUGACCUUUUGUAAAUGGAUCUCAAAACCAGUAAUGCUUACUGUCAGAAAUGCUCGUGUAUAUUUACCAAACUUUACAGAGGGUCCCGCAUAUAAUCAUUUGUAUAAAUGGUAAUUGGACAACUGUUUGUAAGAUUAAAGAUUUAGUAACAUUUUCAGUAAGAGGUAAUCUAAUAUUUUACAAUUUAUCUGAAACCAAUUUGCACAUUAUGAUAUAACAUUUGACCAUAAAUUUUUCUUUGCUUAUCAUUUAUUAUGGUGUUCCUUCAGCAUAAAGAAAUUACAUUUCUUUCUUUUGUAAACAAGAUAAAACACUGCUUUAUAUGAAUUGUCUGAUUUGGUAAUAAUUAUUUACCUUCACAAGAUAAAUAACUUCGUCAAACGAAAUAUGAAAUUUUAUUCAACAUUCAGAACGAUGUAAUGGGGAUUUUCCAUUGCCAUUUAAUUUGACAAUCAGUUUUUGUUUCGAUUACUCCCCUUUGGUCAUGGGCUGAAAACUGCCUAAUACUUGCAUUGGGUGUUAAAAUUGUAAUAAAUUAAAGAUAAGGUCUUCAUGCUCAAUCUUUGUAUUUGCAGAUUUACAUGAAGGUCUGUGUAAAGAAGGAAGUUUUAUUUCACGAUAGGUUAGAGGGAAUAAUUAAUUGAUAGUAAGAUACUAAUGUGCAGCAUAUCUGUCAUCUAAAACUUAUCCAAGAUCACAAGUAAUAUCAAACCAUAAACCUACGGCCGAAAAUCUACUGAUAUUUUUAUCUAAUGUUCACUAUAUCUUAAUCUUUACUUUAUC